rnacentral:rRNA from 1 species
GACGAACGCUGGCGGCGUGCUUAACACAUGCAAGUCGAACGGAAAGGCCUGCUUUCCCUUGUGGAUUGCGGGUACUCGAGUGGCGAACGGGUGAGUAACACGUGGGUGAUCUGCCCCCAACUUGGGUAUAAGCCUGGGAAACUGGGUCUAAUUCCCGAUAGGACUGCAGGGUGGUGCCUGUGGUGGAAAACGAUUUUCUAGUGGUUGGGGAUGAGCUCGCGGCCUAUCAGCUUGUUGGUGGGGUAAUGGCCUACCAAGGCGGCGACGGGUAGCCGGCCUGAGAGGGUGGACGGCCACAUUGGGACUGAGAUACGGCCCAGACUCCUACGGGAGGCAGCAGUGGGGAAUAUUGCACAAUGGGCGGAAGCCUGAUGCAGCGACGCCGCGUGGGGGAUGACGGCCUUCGGGUUGUAAACUCCUUUCGACCGCGAGGAAGCCACCUGGUUGGAAGGGUGGUGACGGUAGUGGUAGAAGAAGCACCGGCUAACUACGUG